AUUGAACGCUGGCGGCAGGCCUAACACAUGCAAGUCGAACGAGUGGCGGACGGGUGAGUAAUGUCUGGGAAACUGCACGAUGGAGGGGGAUAACUACUGGAAACGGUAGCUAAUACCGCAUACCAUCGGAUGUGCCCAGAUGGGAUUAGCUAGUAGGUGGGGUAAUGGCUCACCUAGGCGACGAGCCCUAGCUGGUCUGAGAGGAGGACCAGCCACACGGGCACUGAGACACGGUCCAUACUCCUACGGGAGGCAGCAGUGGGGAAUAUUGCACAAGGGGCGCAAGCCUGAUACAGCCAUGCCGCGUGUAUGAAGAAGGCCUUCGGGUUGUAAAGUACUUUCAGCGGGGAGGCGUUACCCGCAGAAGAAGCACCGGCUAACUCCGUGCCAGCAGCCGCGGUAAUUC
rnacentral:rRNA from 1 species